rnacentral:rRNA from 1 species
CCUACGGGAGGCAGCAGUGGGGAAUAUUGGGCAAUGGAGGAAAACUCUGACCCAGCGACGCCGCGUGCGGGAUGAAGGCCUUCGGGUUGUAAACCGCUUUCAGUAGGGAAGAAGCGAAAGUGACGGUACCUACAGAAGAAGCACCGGCUAACUAUGUGCCAGCAGCCGCGGUAAUACAUAGGGUGCAAGCGUUGUCCGGAAUUAUUGGGCGUAAAGAGCUCGUAGGUGGUUCGUCACGUCGGAUGUGAAAAUCUGGGGCUCAACCCCAGACCUGCAUUCGAUACGGGCGAUCUAGAGUGUGGUAGGGGAGACUGGAAUUCCUGGUGUAGCGGUGGAAUGCGCAGAUAUCAGGAGGAACACCAAUGGCGAAGGCAGGUCUCUGGGCCAUUACUGACACUGAGGAGCGAAAGCGUGGGGAGCGAACAGGAUUACGAUACCCUGGUAGUCCACGCCGUAAACGGUGGGCAUAGUUGUGGGAACCUUCACGGUUUUCNGCGACGCAGCUACGACAUAGUCGCCCGCCGUCGGGAGGUACGAGCGCGAAGAAGUUAAACGUAACGUAAGUAGUAGUUAGACGUGUUGAGACGNGCGACGGCGACGACGAGGAGGAGG